rnacentral:rRNA from 1 species
UACGUAGGGUGCAAGCGUUGUCCGGAAUUAUUGGGCGUAAAGAGCUCGUAGGCGGUUUGUCGCGUCUGCUGUGAAAUCCCACGGCUCAACCGUGGAACUGCUCGGUAUACUGCUCGUCUUGAGCCAACUAGGGGCGACCGGAACAAACGGUGGAGCGGUGAAAUGCGUAGAUAUCGUUUGGAACGCCGAUGGUGAAAACAGGUCGCUGGGGUUGUGCUGACGCUGAGACACGAAAGCCAGGGGAGCGAACGGG